GGUGGCUCAGCGGUAGAGUGCUUGCCUUGCAUGCAUAAGGCCCUGGGUUCGAUUCCUCAGCACCA
rfam:Dipodomys ordii contig_58912, whole genome shotgun sequence.